CACGGGGGGAGCAAGCGUUGCUCGGAAUCACUGGGCGUAAAGGGCGCGUAGGCGGCCAUUCAAGUCGGAGGUGAAAGCCCAGGGCUCAACCCUGGAAUUGCCUUCGAUACUGUCUGGCUAGAGACCGGAAGAGGUAAGUGGAACUGCGAGUGUAGAGGUGAAAUUCGUAGAUAUUCGCAAGAACACCAGUGGCGAAGGCGGCUUACUGGUCCGGUUCUGACGCUGAGGCGCGAAAGCGUGGGGAGCAAACAGG
rnacentral:rRNA from 1 species